AGGGCGCACGGUGGAUGCCUAGGCGCCAGGAGCCGAUGAAGGACGGGGCGAACGCCGAAACGCCUCGGGGAGCCGUAAGCAGGCGUUGAUCCGGGGGUGUCCGAAUGGGGGAACCCGCGCGUGAGGAGCACGCGCACGGCCCGCUGGGAGGCGGGUACGAGGCAACCCGGGGAACUGAAACAUCUUAGUACCCGGAGGAGAAGAAAACAAACGUGAUUCCGUUAGUAGCGGCGAGCGAACGCGGAGGAGCCCAAACCGGGAGGCGGAAGCCUUUCGGGGUUGUGGGACGUCCCGCAUGGAGUGAGAAAAGGACAGGCUAGGCGAAGAGGUCUGGAACGGCCCGCCGGAGGAGGUAAGAGCCCUGUAGCCGAAAGCUUGUUCUCUCCGGGACGGAUCCCGAGUACCGCGGGACACGGGGAAUCCCGCGGGAAGCCGGCAGGACCAUCUGCCAAGGCUAAAUACUCCCUGGCGACCGAUAGUGGACGAGUACCGUGAGGGAAAGGUGAAAAGCACCCCGGGAGGGGAGUGAAAGAGGACCUGAAACCGUGCGCUUACAAGCAGUCAGAGCCCGAUAGACGGGUGAUGGCGUGCCUUUUGUAGAAUGAACCGGCGAGUGACGAUCGCGUGCGAGGUUAAGGCGCAAGAGCCGGAGCCGGAGCGAAAGCGAGUCUGAAGAGGGCGGAAAGUACGCGGUCGUCGACCCGAAACCGGGUGAUCUACCCCUGUCCAGGGUGAAGGCGCGGUAACGCGCGCUGGAGGCCCGAACCCGUGUCUGUUGAAAAAGGCUGGGAGGAGAUGGGGGUAGGGGUGAAAUGCCAACCGAACCCGGAGAUAGCUGGUUCUCCCCGAAAUUGCUUGAGGGCGAGCCUCGGGCGGUGGGCGGCGGAGGUAGAGCACCGAUGGGGCAAGGGGCCCGAGAGGGUUACCGCGUCACGUCGAACUGCGAAUGCCGCCGUCUUGAGCUCGGGAGUGAGACGAUGAGGGCUAAGCUUCAUCGUCGAGAGGGGAACAGCCCAGACCGUCGGCUAAGGUCCCGGAGUGCGUGUUGAGUGGAAAAGGAUGUGGCGUUGCGAAGACAACCAGGAUGUUGGCUUAGAAGCAGCCAUCAUUGAAAGAGUGCGUAACAGCUCACUGGUCGAGUGACGCUGCGCCGAAAAUAAGCGGGGCUAAACACGCCACCGAAGCCGCGGCUGACGCGCGUGGGUGCGCGUUGGGGUAGGGGAGCGUUCCGUUCAGCGGCGAAGGCGGACCGGAAGGACCGCUGGAGCGGACGGAAGUGAGAAUGCCGGUAUGAGUAACGAAAAGACGGGUGAGAAUCCCGUUCGCCGGAAGCCGAAGGGUUCCUGGGGAAGGGUCGUCCGCCCAGGGUGAGUCGGGGCCUAAGGUGAGGCCGAGAGGCGUAGCCGAAGGGAAACAGGUGGAGAAUCCUGUACCGCCGACCGGCCGUUUGAGCGAAGGGGGGACGCCGCGAGGAAGGGACGCGGGCGACUGGAAGGGCCCGUCCAAACCGCGAGGCAGGCGCAUAGGCAAAUCCGUGCGCGGGAUGCCGGGCGGUGAAGGGGAGGGGCGAUGGAAGCCCCGAAGGUCUCGGGUGAGCGGCCGAGAAAAGCCUCUAGCGAGGCCGGGGGCGCCCGUACCGGAAACCGACACAGGUCGGCAGGUAGAAGAUACCGAGGCGCGCGGAAGAACUCUCGUCAAGGAACUCGGCAAACUGACCCCGUAACUUCGGGAGAAGGGGUGCCCCGGUAGGGUGGAAGCGGCAAGUGGAAGCCCGAGGGGGUCGCAGGGAAACGGCCCAAGCGACUGUUUAGCAAAAACACAGGUCUGUGCGAAGCCGUAAGGCGAGGUAUACGGGCUGACGCCUGCCCGGUGCUGGAAGGUUAAGGGGAAGGGUGAGCCGGAAGGCGAAGCUCUGAACCGAAGCCCCAGUAAACGGCGGCCGUAACUAUAACGGUCCUAAGGUAGCGAAAUUCCUUGUCGGGUAAAUUCCGACCCGCACGAAAGGCGUAACGACUUGGGCGCUGUCUCGACGAGAGAUCCGGUGAAAUUGAAGGACCUGUGAAGAUGCAGGUUACCCGCGACGUGACGGAAAGACCCCAUGGAGCUUGACUGCAGCCUGAUAUUGGACUUGGGCAUCGCCUGUACAGGAUAGGUGGGAGCCGUGGAAGCGAGGGCGCCAGCUCUCGUGGAGGCGCCGUUGGGAUACCACCCUGGCGGUGCCGGAGUUCUAACCUGCGCCUUGAGAGCGAGGCGGGGGACCGUGUCAGGUGGGCAGUUUGACUGGGGCGGUCGCCUCCUAAAAGGUAACGGAGGCGCCCCAAGGUUCCCUCAGCGCGGAUGGAAAUCGCGCGGCGAGUGCAAAGGCAGAAGGGAGCUUGACUGCGAGACUGACCAGUCGAGCAGGGACGAAAGUCGGGCUUAGUGAUCCGGUGGUACCGAAUGGGAGGGCCAUCGCGCAACGGAUAAAAGCUACCCUGGGGAUAACAGGCUAAUCUCCCCCAAGAGUCCACAUCGACGGGGAGGUUUGGCACCUCGAUGUCGGCUCAUCGCAUCCUGGGGCUGAAGCAGGUCCCAAGGGUUGGGCUGUUCGCCCAUGAAAGCGGUACGCGAGCUGGGUUCAGAACGUCGUGAGACAGUUCGGUCCCUAUCUGUCGCGGGCGCAGGACAUUUGAGGGGGGCCGUCCCUAGUACGAGAGGACCGGGACGGACGUACCGCUGGUGGACCGGUUGUUCCGCCAGGAGCACAGCCGGGUAGCCAAGUACGGGAGGGAGAAGCGCUGAAAGCAUCUAAGCGCGAAGCCCGCCCCGAGAUGAGAUGU
rnacentral:rRNA from 1 species